rnacentral:rRNA from 1 species
UAAGGAAUAUUGGUCAAUGGACGAAAGUCUGAACCAGCCAUGCCGCGUGAAGGAUGAAGGUCCUCUGGAUUGUAAACUUCUUUUAUCUGGGACGAAAAAAGGGCAUUCAUGCUCACUUGACGGUACCAGAGGAAUAAGCACCGGCUAACUCCGUGCCAGCAGCCGCGGUAAUACGGAGGGUGCAAGCGUUAUCCGGAUUCACUGGGUUUAAAGGGAGCGUAGGUGGGCAGGUAAGUCAGUGGUGAAAUCUCCGGGCUUAACCCGGAAACUGCCAUUGAUACUAUCUGUCUUGAAUAUCCUGGAGGUAAGCGGAAUAUGUCAUGUAGCGGUGAAAUGCUUAGAUAUGACAUAGAACACCCAUUGCGAAGGCAGCUUACUACGGGAUGAUUGACACUGAGGCUCGAAAGCGUGGGGAUCAAACAGG